GACGUAGGGCGCGAGCGUUGUCCGGAAUUAUUGGGCGUAAAGAGCUCGUAGGCGGCUUGUCGCGUCGACUGUGAAAACCCGUGGCUCAACCAUGCGGUCUGCAGUCGAUACGGGCAGGCUAGAGUUCGGUAGGGGAGACUGGAAUUCCUGGUGUAGCGGUGAAAUGCGCAGAUAUCAGGAGGAACACCGGUGGCGAAGGCGGGUCUCUGGGCCGAAACUGACGCUGAGAAACGAAAGCCAGGGUAGCAAACGGG
rnacentral:rRNA from 1 species